UUGGAGGGCAAGUCUGGUGCCAGCAGCCGCGGUAAUUCCAGCUCCAAUAGCGUAUAUUAAAGUUGUUGCAGUUAAAAAGCUCGUAGUUGAAUUUCGGGGUUAGUAGGCUGGUCGUGCCACCGGUACGUACUGGUCUUACUGAUUCCUCCUUCCUGAUGAACUGUAAUGCCAUUAAUUUGGUGUUGCAGGGAAUCUGGACUGUUACUUUGAAAAAAUUAGAGUGUUUAAAGCAGGCUAACGCUUGAAUACAUUAGCAUGGAAUAAUGAAAUAGGACGUUCGAUCCUAUUUUGUUGGUUUCUAGGAUUGACGUAAUGAUUAAUAGGGAUAGUUGGG
rnacentral:misc_RNA from 1 species